GACGAAGGAUGCAAGCGUUAUCCGGAUUCAUUGGGUUUAAAGGGCGCGUAGGCGGCCUUGUAAGUCAGUGGUGAAAUCUUCCCGCUUAACGGGAAAACUGCCAUUGAUACUGCUUGGCUAGAGUACAGAUGCUGUGGGCGGAAUAUGACAUGUAGUGGUGAAAUACAUAGAGAUGUCAUAGAACACCGAUUGCGAAGGCAGCUCACAAAACUGUAACUGACGCUGAGGCUCGAAAGUGUGGGGAUCAAACAGG
rnacentral:rRNA from 1 species